UACGUAGGGACCAAGCGUUGUUCGGAUUUACUGGGCGUAAAGGGCGCGUAGGCGGCAAUUCAAGUCAGCUGUGAAAUCUCUGGGCUUAACCCAGAACGGCCAGCUGAUACUGCUUUGCUAGAGUGCAGAAGGGGCAAUCGGAAUUCUUGGUGUAGCGGUGAAAUGCGUAGAUAUCAAGAGGAACACCUGAGGUGAAGACGGGUUGCUGGGCUGACACUGACGCUGAGGCGCGAAAGCCAGGGGAGCGAACGGG
rnacentral:rRNA from 1 species